UACGGAGGGUGCGAGCGUUAAUCGGAAUUACUGGGCGUAAAGCGUGCGUAGGCGGUGAUCUAAGUGGGAUGUGAAAGCCCCGGGCUCAACCUGGGAACUGCACCCCAAACUGGGUCACUAGAGUACAGCAGAGGAGUGUGGAAUUUCCUGUGUAGCGGUGAAAUGCGUAGAUAUAGGAAGGAACACCAGUGGCGAAGGCGACACUCUGGGCUGAUACUGACGCUGAGGUACGAAAGCGUGGGGAGCAAACAGG
rnacentral:rRNA from 1 species